UGGGGAAUUUUGGACAAUGGGCGCAAGCCUGAUCCAGCAAUGCCGCGUGCAGGAUGAAGGCCUUCGGGUUGUAAACUGCUUUUGUACGGAACGAAACGGCUCUGGUUAAUACCUGGGGCUAAUGACGGUACCGUAAGAAUAAGCACCGGCUAACUACGUGCCAGCAGCCGCGGUAAUACGUAGGGUGCGAGCGUUAAUCGGAAUUACUGGGCGUAAAGCGUGCGCAGGCGGUGAUGUAAGACAGAUGUGAAAUCCCCGGGCUCAACCUGGGACCUGCAUUUGUGACUGCAUCGCUGGAGUGCGGCAGAGGGGGAUGGAAUUCCGCGUGUAGCAGUGAAAUGCGUAGAUAUGCGGAGGAACACCGAUGGCGAAGGCAAUCCCCUGGGCCUGCACUGACGCUCAUGCACGAAAGCGUGGGGAGCAAACA
rnacentral:rRNA from 1 species